rnacentral:rRNA from 1 species
AAAUUGAAGAGUUUGAUCAUGGCUCAGAUUGAACGCUGGCGGCAGGCCUAACACAUGCAAGUCGAACGGUAACAGGAAGCAGCUUGCUGCUUCGCUGACGAGUGGCGGACGGGUGAGUAAUGUCUGGGAAACUGCCUGAUGGAGGGGGAUAACUACUGGAAACGGUAGCUAAUACCGCAUAACGUCGCAAGACCAAAGAGGGGGACCUUCGGGCCUCUUGCCAUCGGAUGUGCCCAGAUGGGAUUAGCUUGUUGGUGGGGUAACGGCUCACCAAGGCGACGAUCCCUAGCUGGUCUGAGAGGAUGACCAGCCACACUGGAACUGAGACACGGUCCAGACUCCUACGGGAGGCAGCAGUGGGGAAUAUUGCACAAUGGGCGCAAGCCUGAUGCAGCCAUGCCGCGUGUAUGAAGAAGGCCUUCGGGUUGUAAAGUACUUUCAGCGGGGAGGAAG